rnacentral:piRNA from 1 species
UUCUAACUCUGAUAGACUUUUGUCAUUCCGU